AAUUGUAUUUAAGUAGUAGGCCCAAGUUAGGUUGGAUUGGUCCACCGAAAAAGGUCCCGAAAAUACAAAUCUCCGAUCAUUUCUCCGGCGAAAAAUCUCCGAUCGUAUUUCUCCGGCAAAUUCCGAUCAUAUUUCUCCGGCGAAAUUCACUUUGAUCAGAGAGGUGCACAGAACCUUGUAAUAUCUGAAGGGGUUAAUCACCUAAUGCUUUUGACAUCAAACACUUGCAAUUUUGUUGUAAAUUUUCCGAAAAUGACGUCUGACUUCAAAGGAAAAGCUAUUGUACUUAUGGGUGUCAGCGGAGCUGGAAAAUCGUAAGUUUUCAAAACAAUUGGUCAGAUGCUUGGAAGAGCUGUUCAUGGCCGCUUUCUUGAUGCCGAUGAUUAUCACUCAGAGGCUAACAAAGAGAAGAUGAAGAAUGGGAUCCCUCUUUCCGAGGAAGAUCGUGUUCCAUGGCUUGAAGCAUUGCGAAAUACACUGAGAAGAGGCUUAGUUGACAAUGAAACUCUGGUUCUUGCUUGCUCAGCUCUGCAAAAGCGGUACAGGGAAAUCCUUAGAUCUGCAGACCCAAAUUAUGAACCAGGUUCUUAUGCAAGUAUUGUUAAAUUCGUUUUGCUGGAUGUUGGAGCUGAAGUGCUUGCAGCUCGGCUGGUCAAGAGAGCAGCUGAGGGAAAGCAUUUCAUGUCUGCAAAACUCUUGCAGACCCAACUGGAUUUGCUUCAGAUUGAUGAAGCAGAAGGAAUACUUACGAACCACAUGACAAAAUUACUAGAUCAAUCUACUUUGUACAAUGGAGGACAUGUAUCGAUAGGAAUCAGCCUGCCUCUUCAAGAAACUUUCUUGGAACCCAGUUUGGACACGUGGGACUGAAGUGGCUGGACACGACCCUCGAAUUCAAUAUCUCAACAAGGGGAGCGAAUUUCACGCUCCGGGGUGUCUUGUAUUGGUUUAUGGAAGUACCUAAACUAACAUAGUAGUCCAUGAGCUUGUCAAAAGUCCCGAUUUCCAGUAUCCUGAUCUCCAGAGGCCCAAUGGAUUUGUCAGAGGCGCGCCCCUGGCGGUAGACGCUAUUUAGAGAUUCUUCAGUGGUGAUACAACAAUCUUCAAAGACCGAAGGAGGAAUUUGGGUAGAGUCGUUCACACUUAGCUCCCAGAAUAGGACAUAGUGGCCUGGAAUGGUGGCUAUAUCGGCAUAGCUGGUGUACUCUGUUACAUUAGCAUCAAAUGGUAUGAGAUUGUGCACUGCAUUGUUCACUGCAUUUUGUAGCUCAGCUUCAUCAGUCUUGUCAGAAUCAAUGCUCAAGAUUACAUUUUCCCGGCAUGCAAUGUAGAAUUGAGGUGCGUUGUUCUUGUAUCCAGCAACUUGAAGCACAUCACCCACCCUGUAUCUAUAGAGUCCUGAAAUGACACAAGUCCAAGCAAAGCUAAGCAUUAGCAGACAUGUUGGAAAGACAAAUGGAAAAAAGAAAAUGAUUCGAGCAUUUUUUUUGGCAUUUAGAAGUACCUGAAUAUCUGGUAACAACAAGCUCGUACUCCUGGCCAAUCUUGACAUCAACCAGAUCUACUAACUGAUUUUGUUGUUUCUCAUUAAACGACUUGGAUAGGAAGAUAGAACUGAUGAUUCCAUUGUCUCUGUGAAUUGGUGCGAACUCAAAAUAGCACAUGGUGGGGAAUUGGGGAUAAGGGUGUGAAAAACUUCGCUGCGCUUACAGAAGGGGUUUAAGUUGAUUCCUAAGCUGCUCUCCGAGGAACCAUACAUGGUAGAGACAAGAGGAAGGUCAUUGGUGUAAUAUUCAAGGGUUGGUAUGUACUGUGCCAUGCUUCCGGUUACAACAACAUCCACAUACUUGGUGUUAGGCCACAACCUGGUGAUGAUCCUUGCCAUGAAUCUUUACUGCAUUCAGCCCCGAUGAAAUCAGCUAACUCUGGGUCAGGUUUGAGGAUUCUCAUCACUGACUCUCUCACUGACAGAUCUGUAAUUUGGGUGUUAACAUUUCCCAUUCGAAUAUCGUUGCAAAGUAGAGGCCAGUGCUUUUCUAGGAACCGGAUGGCACGGAUGAAGCUGGACGCAGAGUACGACCCAGCCCUGAGUACUUCUUUGCAUUGGUAGAAACCACAAAGCAUUUGAGAGUACAUGCCUUGGUAAGGGUCUGGGCAGAGAAUGGUUUCAGCAGGACUAGUGUAGUUUGCAUAGGGGUUAAGAUGCCUGUUGUUGAAAUAAGGACUCUUGUAAAUACUUGUUAAAGCAGGGCGAGCUGUUAAUCCUCCUGGGGUCUUGGCUUCAGACUUUAUGGACAAGAAAUACAUUCCUUUGCCCUUAUCCAAAUCUGGAACAAAUUGGCUCAUCACAGGCAUCACAAUGCCGCGUAGCUGAAAUCUCUUCCCAAGCGCUUCUUGGGUUGUUGGCAUCAAUUUUCUCUCCCCUCCGGACGUCCCGGAACUGCACAUAAAAAUUGCUCUUCAGAAGAAAUUAAAGGGUCCACAUGCAAGAACUAGAAAAUCUCAAUGGAGAUGCGAAGAACGUGAAUUGUGUACUUUAUAGUAGUACACUUUUGAGACGGAGAUGCACAUGUCGGAAAGUCAAACCUUGUCAAGAACUCUGUGAUGGGUUGGGAGCACAAGAUUGGAGUUUAUCACCAUGGGCUAUACAGUUGAUAUCAGGUUGAAUAUCUUCAUAUGUGAUGACAGGGAUCACUUUCUUGAAUGUCUCUCUAUCGGUGUGACCAUUGAGACCAUGACGCUGCAAGUACUCAACGUUGGCAUUUCUAGAGAGGAUUUCCGCAAGAACUCUCUUUUGGACCUCAUCAACGUCGGUUGUGACCUCUUCAAUGAACUGAAGAACCUUCUUGUUUUCCUCCGCGAUACUACCAUUAGGGGCCUUCAUUGGGCUCUUUGGUGCAUCAGAUAACCGUGCUGUCCGGGCCAGCUUACGUGCUCCUCGACUAAUUUCACGGGAUACCUGCCACCUCCCACCAGCACAACAGGUACCAGGGGCUAAGAUCAAGUCUUCUUACCGUGACGUCCAAUUCUGAAGUUGCUCAUGUCAAACAUGAUUAUGUUAUUUGCACUAGCUUGUUCAAUAUAAUCGGACACCCUUCUGUCUGCGCGAAACAAAAAGUUAAAGAGUAGCUAGAAUUACAUCUUAGUCAAAUAAGAGGACUUGUUCUUAGUCCCUGCAAAUGAUGUGUAAGUCUAUUAAUAAGAUUAAAGCAGAUAAACAAAAUAUCCGAAGGGUGUUGAUAAGUUGUUAGGACAACAAAUUUUUGGCAGAUUGUAUUGGGCAAGCUGGGGCAAACAACAUAAUCAUAUGUGAUCUCCAUUGGAGGAAAUAAUCAGUUAUUCUGACAUAGGUGUGAACCACGGACUUAUAGAGGGUGAAUUCAAUAUGCAGUUCUGGGACGUCGAGAGGGGAGAUAAAA